AGCCAAUUACUCAGCAAAAUAAAAAACCGUACAACAAUCCACAUAUCAUCAAAAAUAUAAAUGAUAAAAAAACAAAUAAACAGGAAAUAAGUAACAUAAAAAAAAAAAAAAAAACACUUGCUCCAUAGCAGUUACAAAUAAACAGGAAAUAAGUGAAAUAACUGCUAGCAGAGUGCAGAUUCGGCCUUUCCAACCGCAAUUGAAGGCUUAUUCUUAAAUUCCAAACUGUGAAUCCCAGUAAACUCUGCGCAAUUGAAGAUUUCUUCUUCGCUUCCUUUUUCCAUUUGAUAGUUCCAUCUAAUUGCUUUUUACGGUUCCUGUUAUUUCGAUUAUGUUUGCAUAUCUGAUUUGUUGGAUUUUGGGCAUAAUGGGGACUUGCUCUAUGAAGUUUUGCAUUUGGGGCUUUUUUUUUUUAAUUUGACAGUUCAUUAUUUUUUGGGGUUAGAAGUUGAUGUUGUUGGUAAUUAUAUUGUUAAUAUUUACCUCUCUGAUGGUAACUUUUGUUAAUUAAAUUUGUCGGAUUGAUUUGCUUAUCCAAAUCACUUAUUAGCGAUUUCUCGUGUUGAAUUCCUCUAUACAGGUCUUAACAAUCGCUCUCUACGAUCAAGUUUUGGUUCUUCCUUUCAACAAUUUUUUGUAGCAGAGAUGUGUAGGACUACAGAACGAGGGCAUACAGAGGUCAUUCUCAAACUUCCGAUGGUUCAUUUAGACUUGAGUCGGUGGCAAAAGAAAGGAUCGCGGUGUACUUCAGUUCGUUGAUGACGCUGCUUAUGAGGUCUACGAUGACGACUUCGACUUCAGCGAUGACUCUGACUUCUUCUAUGAAAGUGUGCAUUACAGCAGUCACUCAGUUCCUUUAUUUGUUUCACAUUUGGAAUGUCUAGCAGCAUGACUGAGAAGUUAGGUUGGAAAACCUGAAACCAAGCACCCAUUGAAAACCAAAGUCCAUCCUGUUCAGAAUUUUGAGCUGCUCCAGGCUGGCUGUACUAGAUGACAGGUUAAUAUCUUUCAGCUACACCACACGUUAUUGCAUCAAAUAUUACCAGUAGUAGUGAAAAUUUCUCUUAUUUUUUUUUUCUACACAAACUUGGGAGGAGGAGACUGUCAUUUUGAUCCACUUUCGGUGAGCAUUGUACUAAGACAACUUUUAUUUGUUACUGGAAUCAUUAUUCCAUUAUAGUGGAAAUUGUUAGAAGAAAUGAUCUGUAUAUAAAGGAUCCUGUUUAUUCCAAUCUUGUCAUGUUGGUACUCAAGAAGGAAUUUACUAAGUAAUUUUAGUGUGUAAACUUUUUGCUAUCUUCUAUAGAACUGAGUUUUUUGUGAUAA